rnacentral:RNase_P_RNA from 1 species
GCCGCUCCCCGGACGGUCGCAGUUUCCGCGCAAGCGGGAGGUGAGGAAAGUCCGGACACCACAGGGCAACGCGCCUCACGAAAGUGGGGGACGGGAACCGCGAGGAACCCGGACAGACAGUGCAGCAGAAAGAUACCGCCGAUGGCCCGCAAGGGCACAGGCAAGGAUGAAAUAGUGGAGUAAGAGCCAACCGCGAAUCCGGGCAACCGGACGGCACGGCAAACCUCGCGUGGUGCAAGACAGAACAGGGGAAGGGCGGCCCGCCCGUUAGAAACCCCGGGUAAUAGUCGCACUCCGCGCAAGCGGGGCGCCCCGCUCCGGCGGGGUGAGAGAAAUGACCGUCCAGUCCCGCGAGGGAUGGACAGAAUCCGGCUUACAGGGGAGCGGCACUU